rnacentral:rRNA from 1 species
GACGAACGCUGGCGGCGUGCUUAACACAUGCCAGUCGAACGGAAAGGCCCUGCUUUUGUGGGGUGCUCGAGUGGCGAACGGGUGAGUAACACGUGAGUAACCUGCCCUUGACUUUGGGAUAACUUCAGGAAACUGGGGCUAAUACCGGAUAGGAGCUCCUGCUGCAUGGUGGGGGUUGGAAAGUUUCGGCGGUUGGGGAUGGACUCGCGGCUUUUCAGCUUGUUGGUGGGGUAGUGGCUUACCCAGGCUUUGACGGGUAGCCGGCCUGAGAGGGUGACCGGCCACAUUGGGACUGAGAUACGGCCCAGACUCCUACGGGAGGCAGCAGUGGGGAAUAUUGCACAAUGGGCGGAAGCCUGAUGCAGCAACGCCGCGUGCGGGAUGACGGCCUUCGGGUUGUAAACCGCUUUCGCCUGUGACGAAGCGUGAGUGACGGUAAUGGGUAAAGAAGCACCGGCUAACUACGUG